UCAGAUUGAACGCUGGCGGCAGGCCUAACACAUGCAAGUCGAGCGGUAACAUUUCUAAGCUUGCUUAGAAGAUGACGAGCGGCGGACGGGUGAGUAAUGCUUGGGGAUCUGCCUGAUGGCGGGGGACAACCACUGGAAACGGUGGCUAAUACCGCAUAAUACCUAUGGGUCAAAGUGUGGGACCUUCGGGCCACACGCCAUCAGAUGAACCCAAGUGAGAUUAGCUGGUUGGUAAGGUAACGGCUUACCAAGGCGACGAUCUCUAGCUGGUCUGAGAGGAUGAUCAGCCACACUGGGACUGAGACACGGCCCAGACUCCUACGGGAGGCAGCAGUGGGGAAUAUUGGACAAUGGGGGCAACCCUGAUCCAGCCAUGCCGCGUGUGUGAAGAAGGCCUUCGGGUUGUAAAGCACUUUCAGUGGUGAGGAAGGUGGUGUCGUUAAUAGCGGCAUCAAUUGACGUUAGCCACAGAAGAAGCACCGGCUAACUCCGUGCCAGCAGCCGCGGUAAUACGGAGGGUGCGAGCGUUAAUCGGAAUUACUGGGCGUAAAGCGCACGUAGGCGGUAUGUUAAGCAAGAUGUGAAAGCCCAGAGCUCAACUCUGGAAUAGCAUUUUGAACUGGCAUGCUAGAGUUUUGGAGAGGGUGGUAGAAUUUCCAGUGUAGCGGUG
rnacentral:rRNA from 1 species